rnacentral:rRNA from 1 species
GGGCUUAACUGGAGUAGUGCAUGGGAAACUGGGAGACUGGAGUGCAGAAGAGGUGAGUGGAACUCCAUGUGUAGCGGUGAAAUGCGUAGAUAUAUGGAAGAACACCAGUGGCGAAAGCGGCUCACUGGUCUGUAACUGACGCUGAGGUUCGAAAGCGUGGGUAGCAAACAGG